CCUAAACAGAUGAAAACAUAAUACCAUGAAGCCUUUAUCAGAAACAAUAACAUACCAGUUAUAUUUACUAAAAUAGGCGAUGGAAUAAACAUGACGGAAUAAACAUUACUUCAAUCUGAUAGAAUGUUAUUUGUAUAUACUGUACAGAUUGCAAGAAGAGGACAAUUGAUGAGAUGGAUACAAUGACGCAAAAAGUAUAAGUGUUAUAUUCUCUGAUUUACUGAUGCUUUCUUAUCUGUAAAUAAUUUUAUGUAUUGAACAGAAUGAUCCAAUAAUUCUGCAUACAUAUACAGGAUGUAUCACUUUAAUCACUUUAAUCGAUCAACACAAGUAUUUCAUAAACUAUACAUUAUACGAAAAAGGGUUUCAAAUAAAAUUUGUUUUGUUUCAAAGGGAGCUGAAGGUGUUUUCAGGAUCUCAAGGUAACCUUUGUUUUUUAAAUGGAACUAUACUUGUUUUCACGUGGUGAAAAUUGAAUUGAAUCGAGUUGUAUGGUAACACCGUUCGAAGCAGCUGUCAAUUUUUUAUAAAAAAAAAAAAAGGUAU